rnacentral:rRNA from 1 species
UACGUAGGGCGCAAGCGUUAUCCGGAAUUAUUGGGCGUAAAGAGCUCGUAGGCGGUUUGUCGCGUCUGCCGUGAAAGUCCGGGGCUCAACUCCGGAUCUGCGGUGGGUACGGGCAGACUAGAGUGAUGUAGGGGAGACUGGAAUUCCUGGUGUAGCGGUGAAAUGCGCAGAUAUCAGGAGGAACACCGAUGGCGAAGGCAGGUCUCUGGGCCACUACUGACGCUGAGAAGCGAAAGCGUGGGGGAGCGAACAGG